CUUCAAACCAUCGGUAAGAGAGCCCUAAGCCAUGUUGGUCCCAUUGAGAGACAAGAUUUCACUUUGAAAUCCUACUCAUUGGUGCUGUCCUGUACAUGCAGACAACAAGCAUAACCAAGCCUUAGUGUGACAUCCAGGACUUAUCCUCUGUUGAAUCUCUAUAGGAAGGAUCAAUCACUCCCUGAAUGAACAACAUAAGGGACCAAUGUUAAAAGGGAAGUCUUUGUGUAGAGAGCUGAUUGUGUCCUGUAUAUACCAAAUCAGACGUGUUCUCUCCAGGACCCAGGGACUUCCCAAUGGAAUGGGAAAGGACAGUGUUUCAGUGCCAGUAGUGAGGAAGGCCUGGCAGCAUUGCAGAACUGUCCAGCAGGCUCCUAGAGAUCAGUAAGCUCAGGUGUCCUCAGGCAUGCACACGGCAGCCCUAGUUAUCUGGCAGCAAAGACGUCAUGUGCAUUUCACACUUAGUUUCCAUUCCUAGU